CCUUAUUUCCCAUUAUUUCCCAAUUUUCCCCAUUACUUCCCAUAAUUUCUCCAUUAUCUCCCAUGUUCCCCCAUGAUUUCCCCACUAUUUCCCAUUAUUUUCCCAUAUUUUCCCAUUAUUUCCCCAUAUUUUCCCAUUUUUCCCCAUUACUUCCCACAAUUUCUCCAUUAUCUCCCAUUUCCCCCAUAAUUACCCACAAUUUCCCAUUAUUUUCCCAUAUUCCCCCAUUAUUUCCCGUUAUUACCCACUGUUCCUCAUUAUUUCUCCCUUAUUUCCCAUUAUUUCCCCACAUUUCCCCAUUAUUUCCCAUUAUUUCCCAUUAUUACCCACUAUUUCUCAUUAUUUCUCCCUUAUUUCCCAUUAUUUCCCCACAUUUCCCCGUAUUUCCCCAUUACUUCCCAUAAUUUCUCCAUUAUCUCCCAUUUCCCCCCAUAAUUACCCACAAUUUCCCAUUAUUUCCCCACAUUUCCCCAUUAUUUCCCAUUAUUACCCACUAUUUCUCAUUAUUUCUCCCUUAUUUCCCAUUAUUACCCACAUUUCCCCAUUAUUUCCCCGUUACUUCCCAUAAUUCCCCAUCAUCUCCCAUUUCCCCCCACGAUGUCCCACGAUUUCCUCAUCGUUUCCCCACGUUUCCCCAUCCCCUCCGCAGAGCCGCAUGGGAUUUUCCACUGUCUCCCCCACUCCCCCGGGGGCAGAGCGGGCACUGCCCUUCCUCCUCUCGCCCAACCCAAUGGGCAAUGAGCCCAGAGCUGCUCCGUAGUGCCGUGCAACCACCGACGUCCUGCCCUUUGCACGGCUCAUUUUGCAUUCUCAGGCUUGGCCACCUCCCUGUGCUCCCCCAACCCCACACUGACCUCUUGCGUGGGAGCGUUACCCGUAGAUUUCUCCUUUCUCCUGCAAGAAAAUGAAACUCAACCCGAUUUCACCCAGGGAACGAGCCCUGCGCCUUCAGCCAAACCCCACAGCUCUGGAGCUGACCCCUACGGGCUGCAACCGGAGCUGGUGCAGCUCAAUGGGCUCCUUGUGCUCCCUUCUGCAAAGCUGAACGUCAGCCAAGGAUGGGCUUCUUCAUGGCCACGGGACAAGGGCUGAGUUACGGAGCUCCAGCCACAUUCCUGAGCCACAUUUGGGGCUCAGGGGUCGUCCCAGAGCUCUGGGUGCUCCUGGAUGGCCCACCCCAAAGCCAACCCCAUGUCCGUUGCCAUCACCAUGCCCAACACCAUCACCAUGCCCAACACCAUCACCAUGCCCAUGCCAACCCCAUGCCCAAUGCCAACCCCAUGCCCAACCCCAUCACCAUGCCCAAUGCCAACCCCAUGCCCAACCCCAUCACCAUGCCCAAUGCCAACCCCAUGCCCAAUGCCAACCCCAUGCCCAACCCCAUCACCAUGCCCAGUGCCAACCCCAUGCCCAAUGCCAACCCCAUGCCCAACCCCAUCACCAUGCCCAAUGCCAACCCCAUGCCCAUUGCCAACCCCAUGCCCAGCACCAUCACCAUGCCCAAUGCCAACCCCAUGCCUGCAGCCCAGGGGGGGCCUUUGGAAGAAGAGGAGUUGGGUUUGGGUUGAGCUGAGCCCCCAGCCCGCACGUGUCUGAGUGAGGAGAGCUGUGUAAUAGGGUUAAUUCAGGAAUAGGACACACCUCUGC
ensembl:lncRNA